ACCCUACCUCUCUAGGUUCUCUGGCGGCAACUCUCUCUCUCUCUCUCAUCUGAUCGGUUCUCUUAUCUGAUCGUCUUCAUCAUCCUAUUAUCUUCCAAAUCAAAUCACAUCCAUACAGAAAACUAAAAGAUAAUACAUAAUUGAUGAUUCGAUUCCUGCAACUCUCUCUAACACAUACAUAAUUGAUGAUUGUUUACAAAGCCUAAGAAAUUAGGACUGAGUUAACUCGUGUGGUAGUAGAACACGAUGCUUGGUGGUUUUCGUCGCCGGAGAACAUAACCCAUAGACCUGAUCUUUGCUUCCAUCUCUCCUUACUGUUGAAUCACCCAACCUGGAAUCUACUAUCUAAUUCCAAAUCUGUUCUAUAUAUAGAUAAGGCUUUCAAUUAACCCGACAAAGUUCACCAGAAAAAGUGCUACAUAGAUAAAGUUUAAUCGGACCUCCUGAAGGGGAAGGGGGUUUCAUCAUAGGUGUGUUUAUGAAAAGGGCAGUAGGGUAGAGUACGGUGAACAUGCGAUAUCCGAUUGUUAGAUUCAAUCAUCGAGGUUUCGUGAUUGCAGGUUUCAAGCUCCAAUAUGUGUAUCCAUUGGUUCGCGAAGGAGAGAGGGAGUGAAGACGAUGAGAAGUAACAUACUUACCGGUGAUGAGGGACAACGAGAAAUUUGGGCGGCGACCAUUAGGGCUUCUUGACGAGAAUGAAGGCGAUGAAGCUGACGUCUUUUUGAUUAGCGCGAAAGAGAGAAAGAAAUGUAGGGUGAGGUACAGAGGUAGUGAGGUGGGUUGCUGUAAUGUCGUAGGCCCAUUUUUUUUUUUUUUUAAAUUAAAAAACAAUUAAAAUAAAUAAAGAAAAUAUAAAAAAGAAAUAAUAAGAUAAAAUAGUCUUUUCAAAUUUCUAAGGACCAAAACCAAAGAAAAUUCUUGAGUUUGGACCUUUCAUGCAAGUUGAAAACUUUUUGAACCGUAUCCACAUUUUUUUGCAAACCAUAAGGACCAAUUUUGCAAUUUUGUCGAUAGAAAAUGAUUAACGACUUAUGUUACUAAUUAAACUUUUUAGGGAGACCUUUAUUUAAAUAAUGAAAUAGUUUAUUAAGUUUUGUAUAUCAUGACGAUGUGGGAUCAAAGUAGCUUUAUCAUGUGCAUUUUUGUGUCAUGUUUUUAUCCUACCUUACUUAAGAAACAAAGUUGAAACGAAAACAAACAAGUAUAAGUAAAGAGCCUGACACAUUUUUUAUCCCACUACACAUUUUUUAUCCAACUACAAUGUUCAACUUAAUUGUUUUGAACAAUGUUUAGAUGUUCAUUGUAAUAAAAAAAAAGCUAUAUACGUGUAUGGUGAUGAUUGAAAGAAGUAUACAUGUAUCACAACACAUUAAUAUAAUCAUUUAAAACUUUGAGUGUUUAACUAUUUUUUAUAAUAACU